rnacentral:rRNA from 1 species
UACAGAGGUCCCAAGCGUUGUUCGGAUUCACUGGGCGUAAAGGGUGCGUAGGUGGCCAGGUAAGUUCGGUGUGAAAGCUCGGAGCUUAACUCCGAAAUGUCAUUGAAUACUAUCUGGCUGGAGGGUCGGAGGGGAGACUGGAAUUCUCGGUGUAGCAGUGAAAUGCGUAGAUAUCAAGAGGAACACCAGUGGCGAAGGCGAGUCCCUGGACAACACCUGACACUGAGGCACGAAAGCUAGGGGGAGCAAACAGG